rnacentral:rRNA from 1 species
AGUGAACGCUGGCGGUAGGCCUAACACAUGCAAGUCGAACGGCAGCACAGUAAGAGCUUGCUCUUACGGGUGGCGAGUGGCGGACGGGUGAGGAAUACAUCGGAAUCUACUUUUUCGUGGGGGAUAACGUAGGGAAACUUACGCUAAUACCGCAUACGACCUACGGGUGAAAGCAGGGGAUCUUCGGACCUUGCGCGAUUGAAUGAGCCGAUGUCGGAUUAGCUAGUUGGCGGGGUAAAGGCCCACCAAGGCGACGAUCCGUAGCUGGUCUGAGAGGAUGAUCAGCCACACUGGAACUGAGACACGGUCCAGACUCCUACGGGAGGCAGCAGUGGGGAAUAUUGGACAAUGGGCGCAAGCCUGAUCCAGCCAUACCGCGUGGGUGAAGAAGGCCUUCGGGUCGUAAAGCCCUUUUGUCGGGAAAGAAAAGCAGCAGGUUAAUACCCCGCUGUUCUGACGGUACCCAAAGAAUAAGCACCGGCUAACUUCGUG